AAACUUAUCUAAUUUAUGGACCAUUUUAAAUUAGCUAUUCAACCUAUCAAAAUUUUGAUUUUACAACCAAAUCUUUCAAUUUGCUUGAUUUCAGUCAAUUAAUGAUAUUUUGAUUUCAAUAUUUAAGCUAAUUACUUACUUUAAUAAUAGUUGCGAGAAUUAUAUGAAAUAUACUAAUUAAAUUUGUAAAGAUAAAUGAUGCAUUUCAAAUUUUAAAGCCAAAGUAUUUUCGACUGACUUAAACUAAAUAAAUUAAUAGGUUGGAUAGUAAAAUUAAAAUUUUGAAAGAUUGUGUGACCAAUCUAAAUGAUCUAUAGUUUUACAUAAAUUCUGUAUAUUUUUAUAUAAAUUUUUUAAAAAUCUAACAAUAAAAGUUCAGACUAAUUAUUGUAAUAGUACUGAAGUUCACGGUGGUCAUACAUUUUCCAAAUAAAAUAUAAAAGGAUAAUUGCUUAUAUAUUCCUAAAAAAUUUCAGACUUUCUUAUUUACCUCACUUAGAAGGCCAAUAUAAAAAAUAUCAUUUUAAUAUUUUAUGUCCUCUCAAAUAUACCCCUAGAAUUUAAAGUGUUAGGAAUAGCCACAAUCUCUAUAAAAUUGCUAUUUUGUUCUUUUAAAUAUAUAUUUUUACCAUUGCUAUUUUUUUAUUUGUUCUUAAGUUAGGAGCAAAAAAAGGUAUUUGACUGUUUGCCCUUUCAAAUAUGUCCUUCUACCGUCACCAACUUUUCUUAUUGUCCUUAAGUUAAGAGCAAAAAAGAUAUUUUAAUUUUUUUUUAACUCUUGUAGAAAUUUAACUGAGAUCACUUAACAAGUACUAACAACAAAAUUAUUUUUGAAUUACGAUAAAAUAUACAAGAUAUAUUUGAAAUAAAAAAAAUAUAAGAUAUUACAAAAGUUUUAAGAAAUAUAUAGAUAUUCCAAUAUAAAAAUAAAAUAUAGGAGUCCGUCUAUAAUGCUAUCAGUAGCACAAAACAGUUGGUGCUAUCAAGUUUUCUACCAUUAGAUUUAUCUCUUAGAUCAUUUUCAUUCAUUAGGUCAUACUAUUCAAUCAACUAUCCAUUCAGCUCUAGCUCUAUAAUUUUUUACAUAAAUAUUAAAAAUUCAAUAGCAAAAAGGUUCAAAUACUAGUA
rnacentral:lncRNA from 1 species